ensembl:lincRNA Cep83os centrosomal protein 83, opposite strand
GUCCUACGUCAUCAGCACCGCGCGCCGCCCAAGGUCCGAGCCGUUGGUGAGAGGAGCGGGCUGACGGUUACGCGGGUAGCGGUUGCCGCUGUGGGGGAAAAAAAAAAGUGAGGAUGCCACUCUGGGACGUCCCUGUGGGCCGCACCGAAGCCCGCGAGCCCGGGGAACGGCAGAUGUCACCUCACGCCCGACUCCCGGUGGGCUGAGGGACUCUGUGCCCUUGUCACACUUCCUUCUCGGAGGGCUUGGACGGUGCUCUUCGCCGCCACCUCUGUUCCCGCCCGCCUUGUCAUCGUGCCUGCUGGGCGGAUUUUCCGGGCUCUGGCACCCAGUCAGCCUGUGAGUGCGGAGUCGCCCCCAGCUUGCCACCAGGGAAGUCAGAUGAUGCUGUCUUCUGUUGGUUACUUCAUAGCACUUCCAUUUUCAAAGAACAUCUUCCUGAGAAUAAACUUGGAAAGUAAUGUGACCACAAAACAUCAUAUUCACAGAGUUCAAAGGGAUAUUGGAUACAGAAUAAGAAAAUAUGAGAGAUUAAAACUCAGGAGUUGAGUUCUAGCCUGGAAAACAAGAUGAGAGAACUUUCCAGCCUGCACCAAUGUUCACAGUUCUGAUUGAAUUACAAAAUUUUUCUUCUUUUGAACUCAGAAGUCACUUGGAAACUUUGGGGGAAGUUUCACCACACCCUUUAAGCCUUUCUUCUGGUUAGCAGGGGAGAUCCAUUAGAACUUAGAGAAAUAUCCCAGCCUCCAGUAUCAGUAGCCUUGCCAGCCUACCCCUAGGAUGCCUGGCCAGGCUUCAUUGUCAGUGUGGUUCACGGUCACAGUUUUACCUUCAGCUAGCCAUAUUUUCCUGGAUGGUCUUAAACUAUUUGCUGAGUUUGGGUUUUUUGUUUUGUCUUAUUGGAUUUUGUUUGUUGGUUUGUUUGUUUGUUUUGCAGAGAGUUUUCAGACUUUGUUAGGUAAAUUUUACAUUACCAUUAAGAAAUGCUUUCCAAGUUGUGCAUUGCCAAGAAACUGCUUCUCACUAUUCUAGUUUCGUUGGAAUUUUGGUAUUUUUAUUUUGUGUCUUGAUCUUUGGACACGAACCACACCAUUAUUAGUUUCUACUAGAGAUAUUUGUGUGUGUGGCAUGUGUACUUGAUCAUGUGUAUGUCUGCACAUAACGUGCACAUAGGUGUAGAGGACAGAGGUUGACUUUGGGUGUUUUCCUCCAUCACUCUUCCUCCUUAGGUUUUCACCGAAGGUCUCUCACUGAACCUGUGAUUCAUCAGUUCAGACAGGCUGGCUAGCCAGCAAGUUUCCAAGAUCUAUAUGUCUGCCCUCUCAGGCCUGGGGUUAUCAGCCAUAGUAGAUGAGCACUUUACUAACUGAAUCAUCUACUACAACCUGUGGAAACAAUGUAUCCAGGGGAUUUUUAUCUGGGGCUUUCUUAUUCAUCUACUUUAUCUUCUUUCUAAGUAUCCUUUCCUGGCAUUUGUUACAUCACAGGCUUUUGUAUCUGUAUUUCUUGACUCCUUCCUAGUUAUUUCAGUCCUGCUUUCCCUUUUUUGUUAUCUUAGCCGGGACUCUUAAAGCGUCGUGUGUGGGCAGCUGCUCCUCUGUGGCCUUUAUGGGCCUCUCCUCUUGAGAAAGUACUUUAUUAAGGCAAACCGCAGCUCCUGUCAGUCAGUCAGUUUCAGGGCUACAAGUACUACUUAUCAUUCUCCUCCAUAGUCAAUGCAAGUUCUAUGUCCCUUAGGUUGUUUCUUCCAUAAGCCUAAGGGCUUUGCUUGUAUGACCCAAAUCCUCAUUCCUGAAUUUAAAAAAAAAAAUGUGUAUCAGUAAUUAUUUAUAUCUUACUCUGGAAUUGCUGCACAUAUCCUUCCAAAUUACAAUUUGGAAUCAAAAUGUUCCCAGAUCAGUUACCUAUAUGUUUUUCUCUGCCUACCAUCAUUUUGGUUUCCUAUUGCUCUAGCUCAGUUACCACUGCCAAGAUGGGAAAUCCUUGCCUGCUCAUACCUGGAUCCAGAGUUCAAAAUCAAAAUGGCUCUAACAUAGUCUAGUGGGACUCUUAUUGUGUCUCCUGGCAGAAAUGCAUCCCAUUUGGAAGCCAGGACUUUUAUACCUUCAGUGUACAGAGUUAUGGGGACUGGAAAGUGUUCCCUAACAAGUCAGUAGGACUGGUGUUCAGUGGGGUCAUUUCUGCUUUCUCUGUUUUGUUCUUGGAACCAUGUGUUUGUUCUUAGUAGGGAUAAUAAUCCAAGCCAGUGUAUGUACUACUUCCUGAAGGAUGGCAUUUAAUCCUUAUGAAACCCUGCUUCUGAACUGGCACUUCAGUUAUACCAUUAUUACAUUGAAAGCAAACAUUAAACAGCUAGGUCAGAAACACUGAGGAAGGUAAAUAAGAAGGCUUGCACUUGGCUAUGAAAUAGCCAAGCUGAGCAGGUAAGAGAAGAGGCAGAACUCUGGGCUGUUUCAGCAGGACCCAGGAGCCCCACCCUCUCCUGCAGCAACAUGUGCAAGGUAUUGUUGCCCUUUCCCUUAGUAAACAUCUAAAAUUUACAGGUAGUUAACCCUCAUGGAUAACCAUGCAUCUAAUUGUAACAGACUGAAUUGUGGGUAAUGGCUUCUGAGAAAGCCUGCACCUUUUUUAGGAGGGCGACCUCUCCAGACUGCCCCAGGGAUAGACAAAGGAGAACUGGUGGGCAAAGUCCAGACGCUAGAGGCAUUCCUUGGCCAUUGCCACUUGGCUCACAGUACCCUCCCAUCUUGCCUUUGCCUUCCCACCUGCUACAGUAAACCUCAAGAACUUGUUUGCCCUACCUGUCCCCUAAUGUGAAUCUCUUUACUUGAGAUUGGAGGACAUGUGGGAGGAGACAUCUCUAACACCCUCAGUAGGUUGCCUGGUGAUCGAUCUGUCAAACUGAAUGACCCUGUUGAUUCCCUGGUCAUGAAUUCACAUGUUAUCUUUUUACUGUGAAGUAGGUCCCGUUUGCAUGCUGUUGAAUUGGAUCCCAUACCUGUGGUUCAGGCAUUCUUUAAGGAACUAAGUCAUGAUAAUAUAGGCCAAGGCACUGAAAGGCAUAACAACAAGUCCAUACCCAGAAUUCACCCCUGUUGGGAUAGACCACUAGCUACUCCAAAAUGGAAAGAGUCCAUGUUAUUGACCAGGUAUCUGAUUUGUCUUGAGUAAUACUGCAGUAUUGAGAACACAGUGUAGUCCUCUGCUCCUAUCAGGUUCCUUAGAAACAGGUGUAGAUAUGGAUUGGCUUUUGUAGCUGGGAAUUUAUGUUGUGACUCACAUAUAGCCUCCUGUGCAAACAUGACAACUCAUGUGUUGUCUUAGUGACAGUUCUAGAGUAGGCCAUGACAAACACUUGCUUAACACCAACUGAUAGAAUCCUUUGUCAGUAUGAAUUUUUCUGUUUCUCUUUCAUGAUGGAUGUUCUAGUCAGAAUGAACCUGUCAUUAGCCGCUAAGCAAGACAGGCACCAUCAGGGACAGAAUCCUAGGUUGAUGCACCUUCAGGGUAUCCUUUAUUUGCAGCUAAGGCUCUAUGGCUUAAGAGCAUUCCUUGGGGCGUGUCUACUCAUUAGUUUUUGCUCUGCAAGCUCCAGAAUGUGUCUACUAUAGCCUCUUUUAAAACUAUGACCUUAAACUGAAUCUGCUCAGGGAUGUACUCCUUAACUAAGCCUGCCCCUUGCUCAGUCCUGGGCCAAUCCUUACGUGAAUGUGUAUAGGCUCUCGGAAUACAAUUCCCAUGCUUGCUUUAUUGGAAGAUGUUUGGAAAGAACACCUGUGUUCGCCCUUAUCUAUUGCAAGUAAUCUUUCUCUACUCUUUUUAUAUAUUGACUGUGAUUAUUUUGGCUUGCACUCAAUGAUAUGUGACCCCAUUAUAUUUGACUACAAUAUAAUAAAAAAGAUCCUCACUCCAUGUGACCACAUAUCUCCAUUUCUAUACCUCUCUUCCUUACCUCAUUGUCUCUGACCUUCCAGUCUUCUCUGCUGAGAAAGUCUAUACAGGAUGAUCAUGCCAUCAAACACUUGAAACUAACAACAGUAACAAUGAGAAACUGAAGUGGAAAUUUAAGGGCUCUUUGGAAAGUCAUCUGUGUUGAUGGUGUUUUGCUGGGGCAGACACGUGCAGUACCAU